GACGAACGCUGGCGGCGUGCCUAAUACAUGCAAGUAGAACGCAGUUGCGAACGGGUGAGUAACGCGUAGGUAACUGCCUGGUAGUGGGGGAUAACUAUUGGAAACGAUAGCUAAUACCGCAUACUACCAGAUGGACUUGCGUUUUAUUAGCUAGUUGGUGGGUUAACGGCUCACUAAGGCAACAAUACAUAGGGGAACUGAGAGGGUGAUCGGACACACUGGGGCUGAGACACGGCCCAGACUCCUACGGUAGGCAGCAGUAGGGAAUCUUCUGCAAUGGACGCAAGUCUGACCGAGCAACGCCGCGGGAGUGAAGAAGGUUUUCGGAUUGUAAAGCUCUGUUGUAAGAGAAGCGGUAUCUUACCAGAAAGGGACGGCUAACUACGUGCCAGCAGCCGCGGUAAUUC
rnacentral:rRNA from 1 species